GGGGUUGUGGCUCAGUGGUAGAGUGCUCACCUAGCUUGUAUGAGGCACUGGGUUCAAUCCUCAGCACCACA
rnacentral:tRNA from 1 species